rnacentral:piRNA from 1 species
UGGGCCAUCAACCGCUCUUGCUUCUGAAGU